UACGUAGGGUGCAAGCGUUAAUCGGAAUUACUGGGCGUAAAGCGUGCGCAGGCGGUUUUGUAAGUCUGUCGUGAAAUCCCCGGGCUUAACCUGGGAAUUGCGAUGGAGACUGCAAGGCUAGAAUCUGGCAGAGGGGGGUAGAAUUCCACGUGUAGCGGUGAAAUGCGUAGAGAUGUGGAGGAACACCGAUGGCGAAGGCAGCCCCCUGGGUCAAGAUUGACGCUCAUGCACGAAAGCGUGGGGAGCAAACAGG
rnacentral:rRNA from 1 species